UACCAGCACCCCGAGUGGUCGGGACGAUUAUUGGGCCUAAAGCAUCCGUAGCCGGUUCUACAAGUCUUCCGUUAAAUCCACCUGCUUAACAGAUGGGCUGCGGAAGAUACUAUGGAGCUAGGAGGCGGGAGAGGCAAGCGGUACUCGAUGGGUAGGGGUAAAAUCCGUUGAUCCAUUGAAGACCACCAGUGGCGAAGGCGGCUUGCCAGAACGCGCUCGACGGUGAGGGAUGAAAGCUGGGGGAGCAAACCGG
rnacentral:rRNA from 1 species